CGCGUAGGCGGCUUGUACAGUCAGACGUGAAAUUCCUGGGCUCAACCUGGGGGCUGCGUUUGAUACGUGCGGGCUUGAGUUCGGAAGAGGGUCGUGGAAUUCCCAGUGUAGAGGUGAAAUUCGUAGAUAUUGGGAAGAACACCGGUGGCGAAGGCGGCGACCUGGUCCGAUACUGACGCUGAGGCGCGAAAGCGUGGGAGCAAACAGGAUUAGAUACCCUGGUAGUCCACGCCGUAAACGAUGUGCGCUGGAUGUUGGGUGACAUAGUCAUUCAGUGUCGUAGCUAACGCGAUAAGCGCACCGCCUGGGGAGUACGGCCGCAAGGUUGAA
rnacentral:rRNA from 1 species